AUGAAUGAGGAUAUUGUACAAUGGCGUUUUACGGGGUUUUAUGGUCGUCCGAGCUGGAGUGAGCGUAGUUUGUCUUGGGAUGAUAUUCGAAACUUACAUUGUAAGGGAAAACACCCCUGGGUAGUCUUGGGUGAUUUUAAUGAAAUUUUACUGUCUUCUGAAAAGGAGGGCGGUAACGCCAGACCUAACACGAUGAUGAGAGAUUUUCGCAAUUGUUUGCAAGAGUGCGGUCUAGAGGAUAUGGGAUGUAUUGGCGAUCUCUUCACCUGGAGGAGAGGUGAAAUUAGGGAGAGACUUGACCAUGCAGUUUGCAAUGUGGACUGGGCGAAUAAAUUUCCUCAGGCUGCGAUCAUAAAUGAAGAACACGUACACUCUGAUCAUCGACCCCUCAUA
rnacentral:rRNA from 1 species